GGGACUAUAGUUAAUAAUAACAUUUGAGUUGCAUUCAAAAAGUACCGCAAACAGUGGUUAGCCUCG
rnacentral:tRNA from 1 species